rnacentral:rRNA from 1 species
AACGAACGCUGGCGGCAUGGAUUAGGCAUGCAAGUCGAACGGGAUCUGAGAUAUUCAAGUAGCAAUAUGAGAAUAUUUCAGUGAGAGUGGCGAAAGGGUGAGGAACACGUGAGUUACCUGCCCCUAAGUUUGGAAUAACCUUCCGAAAGGAGGGCUAAUGCCGAAUGUGGAUUACCCGUAAAGGGGACAUCUAAAGGUUUACCGUUUAGGGAUGGGCUCGCGUCCUAUCAGCUUGUUGGUGAGGUAAUGGCUUACCAAGGCAAUGACGGGUAGCUGGUCUGAGAGGAUGGUCAGCCACACUGGGACUGAGACACUGCCCAGACUCCUACGGGAGGCUGCAGUCGAGAAUCUUCCGCAAUGGGCGCAAGCCUGACGGAGCAAUGCCGCGUGAAGGAUGAAGGUCUUCGGAUUGUAAACUUCUGUCACUGGGGACGAAUAAAUGACGGUACCCGGAGAGGAAGUCACGGCUAACUACGUGCCAGCAGCCGCGGUAA